rnacentral:rRNA from 1 species
ACGAACGCUGGCGGCGUGCUUAACACAUGCAAGUCGAACGAGGGUAGCAAUACCCUAGUGGCGGACGGGUGAGUAACGCGUAGGUAACCUGCCUCUUAGUGGGGGAUACCCAGUCGAAAGAUUGGCUAAUACCGCAUAAGCUGGUGGCUUGAAAUAGCUAUCAGGAAAGAUUUAUUGCUAGGAGAGGGGCCUGCGUUCGAUUAGCUAGUUGGUGAGGUAAAGGCUCACCAAGGCGACGAUCGAUAGCUGGUCUGAGAGGACGAUCAGCCACACUGGAACUGAGACACGGUCCAGACUCCUACGGGAGGCAGCAGUGGGGAAUUUUCCGCAAUGGGCGAAAGCCUGACGGAGCAACGCCGCGUGGAUGAUGACGGCUUUCGGGUUGUAAAGUCCUUUCAGCAGGGACGAAAAAAAUGACGGUACCUGCAGAAGAAGCAUCGGCUAACUACGU